rnacentral:rRNA from 1 species
GACGAACGCUGGCGGCGUGCCUAACACAUGCAAGUCGAACGGAACUGUUUUGAAAGAUUUCUUCGGAAUGAAUUUGAUUUAGUUUAGUGGCGGACGGGUGAGUAACGCGUGAGUAACCUGCCUUCAAGAGGGGAAUAACAUUCUGAAAAGAAUGCUAAUACCGCAUGACAUAUCGGAACCACAUGGUUUUGAUAUCAAAGAUUUUAUCGCUUGAAGAUGGACUCGCGUCCGAUUAGUUAGUUGGUGAGGUAACGGCUCACCAAGACCGCGAUCGGUAGCCGGACUGAGAGGUUGAACGGCCACAUUGGGACUGAGCCCCGGCCCAGACUCCUACGGGAGGCAGCAGUGGGGGAUAUUGCGCAAGGGGGGCAACCCUGACCCACCAACGCCGCGUGAAGGAUGAAGGUUUUCGGAUUGUAAACUUCUUUUAUUAAGGACGAAAAAGGACGGUACUAAAUGAAUAAGCCCCGGCAAACUACGG